rnacentral:rRNA from 1 species
AGCCAGCAAGUUCAUCUCGUGAAAGGAAUUAAAGAAAAGUUUAGUCAAAGGUGUGGUACUACAUGCCUUUAAUCAGGAGACAGAGGUAUUCGAAUCUCUGAGUUCAAGACCCAGCAGCU